AUUGAACGCUGGCGGCAGGCCUAACACAUGCAAGUCGAACGAGUGGCGGACGGGUGAGUAAUGUCUGGGAAACUGCCCGAUGGAGGGGGAUAACUACUGGAAACGGUAGCUAAUACCGCAUAACAUCGGAAGUGCCCAGAUGGGCUUAGCUAGUAGGUGGGGUAACGGCUCACCUAGGCGAAGAUCCCUAUCUGGUCAGAGAGGAUGACCAGCCACACUGGAACUAGGACACGUUCCAGACUCCUACGGGAGGCAGCAGUGGGGAAUAUUGCACAAUUGGCUCAAGCCUGAUGCAGCCAUGCCGCGUGUAUGAAGAAGGCCUUCGGGUUGUAAAGUACUUUCAGCGAGGAGGCGUUACUCGCAGAAGAAGCACCGGCUAACUCCGUGCCAGCAGCCGCGGUAAUUC
rnacentral:rRNA from 1 species